GCGAAAAUAGCUCAGUUGGUUAGAGCGUCUGACUGUGGCUCAGAAGGUCGUGGGUUCGAAUCCCAUUUUUCGCCCCA
rnacentral:tRNA from 1 species